GAUGAACGCUGGCGGCGUGCCUAAUACAUGCAAGUCGAGCGAACAGACGAGGAGCUUGCUCCUCUGACGUUAGCGGCGGACGGGUGAGUAACACGUGGAUAACCUACCUAUAAGACUGGGAUAACUUCGGGAAACCGGAGCUAAUACCGGAUAAUAUAUUGAACCGCAUGGUUCAAUAGUGAAAGACGGUUUUGCUGUCACUUAUAGAUGGAUCCGCGCCGCAUUAGCUAGUUGGUAAGGUAACGGCUUACCAAGGCAACGAUGCGUAGCCGACCUGAGAGGGUGAUCGGCCACACUGGAACUGAGACACGGUCCAGACUCCUACGGGAGGCAGCAGUAGGGAAUCUUCCGCAAUGGGCGAAAGCCUGACGGAGCAACGCCGCGUGAGUGAUGAAGGUCUUCGGAUCGUAAAACUCUGUUAUUAGGGAAGAACAAAUGUGUAAGUAACUAUGCACGUCUUGACGGUACCUAAUCAGAAAGCCACGGCGAACUACG
rnacentral:rRNA from 1 species